rnacentral:lncRNA from 1 species
ACAUACCAAGUAUUAUUAAUCGGCUAGCAAAGGGAAGUUAAACAUACGACAUGAACUGAAUUAACCAGUGCGCACGACUAGCAAAAAAAAAUAAACUUCUUUUGACAACAAGUUUCUAAUUAAAUCAUGGCUACGCCUGGGCAGCGCUAUUAUGAGAGUGAAAGUGGACGUGCUGCUACUCCCCUCAUUCCCAACAUGUAUCAAGUACCUGCAUUGAGUAAUGCAAGAGUGAGAUGACACAUCUCAGCAAGUAAAAUAAUAUCAAACUGUUUAACCACAUAAGAAUAUUGUUUUACCACCACUUGAUUUCACAACCUUCUUAUUACAAAGGUGCAGCACGUAUACAACGUACAACACUCCUAGCUACCACACCUCGCAGGUAGAAACCACAAUAGUAACAUAGUAAUGUCACUCUUCAUAUAUAUAUACCUCAUGAGUGCAAAUGUCUGCAAAUGCAAGGAUGACUUCUGCCUUCAUACCUCUAAGGAUAUGAAGCCGCAUCGUACCCCUCCUCGGGCAACGUACGAUGCUAAAAAUGUACCGGUACAGUCGGACCAUAAGAUCACGACAUAACUUCAGAAUGCAAGAUGGAUGAUGCAAUGUGCAUGACAUGCCUACAACACUUCAUAUAGCGUGAUUCAAAAAAAAUACUUCAACUCCAUCCAUGAUGGGAAUCAACCACAUAUAUCAUUACCAAAUCAUGAUCAUCCACAAUAUUAGACAAUUGAGAAUUAAUACUUUCGAACAAAUAAACUUCAUCAUAGAAUUCAAUGAUUAACAUAUUAAAACUUAUGCAUACUCAAUGACAGGGAAUAGGAUGCAAACCAAACGGUAGCAACCACCACUGUAUUUACUUGCCUUUACCGGAAGUUUGGGCAAAUCCCUAAGUACGAUCCGGAAGUCCACCACCUGUUUUUGACACACAACUUAGUGCACCAAUUUCACAUAACCAGGCUCAUAAACGACGCCGCACCUACGCACAAACUCAAACCCCGCCGCGGGUUACAUCUCUCCCCACACCCACCAAACUGCAGCGGCGCUGCUUAAUAAUUUCAUAACUUCAAAAUUAUGACAGCAUUGGUAACAAACAAAAACUCCAGAGGCAUCUACAUAAAAUUCCCCACAAGUUUUGUAUACAAUUUAUAAUUAAAUUCCAACAUCUAAUUAGCCCAAAACAGUUCACAAGAUGCACCCUGUAAUCUGUUUUUUUUCUCUUUUGGACAGCGACAUACCCGGAUUCAAACAGCGAUAUCUUUUAAAAUAUAAUUCCAAUUCAAGCGCAUAAGUACUCAUUGGAAAGAUAAGACAAAGCCAUACAUGAUUAUCAUACUGGUUAGCACUAAUUAACCACGAAAAAUUCCCAGAAAUUGCUAAUACUACUGCUGUUCACCCACCUGAAAAAUCUGUUUUUUUUUACAGCAACAUACCCGGAUUCAAACAGCGACAUCUUUUAAAAUAUAAUUCCAAAUCAAGCACAUAAGUACUCAUUGGAAAGAUAAGACAAAGCCCUACAUGAUUAUCAUACUGGUUAGCACUAAUUAACCACGAAAAAUUCCCAGAAACUGCUAAUACUACUGCUGUUCAUCCACCUGAAAAAUCUGUUUUUUUGGACAGCAACAUACCCGGAUUCAAACAACGAUAUCUCCUAAAUUAUAACUCCGAAUCGAGCGCAUAAGUACUCGUUGGAAAGGUAUGACAAAGCUCUACAUGAUUAUCCCACUGAUUCCCACUAAUUACGCCACGAAAAUUCCCAGAAAUCCCUAGAACUACUGCUGUUCACCCACUCACAAAAUUCCUGGACAGCACCUCUACCGAUUCGCAAAGAUAAACACAUAAUCCAAUUGAUUGCAGCACAAAAACAACAAAAGUUAAUCACAAAUUCACCUUAGGUUCUUCCCUUCCUCCUUCCUUCUUCCUCCCUCCAAACUCCAAUUGAGAUCGCAGCCACACGACGGAGAACCACACGGGAGGGCUGCACCUUGGAGGAGGGGGAGAAAUGGGGGGGCGGCUAGGGUUUUGGGUGGUGAGGGCUGCAAAGAUUUGAGGAGGAAGAAGAUGGGAGAGGGGGGGGCGUCCAAGAGAAAGGGGAGGGAAAG